rnacentral:rRNA from 1 species
UGGUGGGUAGUUUGACUGGGGCGGUCUCCUCCUAAAGAGUAACGGAGGAGCACGAAGGUUGGCUAAUCCUGGUCGGACAUCAGGAGGUUAGUGCAAUGGCAUAAGCCAGCUUGACUGCGAGCGUGACGGCGCGAGCAGGUGCGAAAGCAGGUCAUAGUGAUCCGGUGGUUCUGAAUGGAAGGGCCAUCGCUCAACGGAUAAAAGGUACUCCGGGGAUAACAGGCUGAUACCGCCCAAGAGUUCAUAUCGACGGCGGUGUUUGGCACCUCGAUGUCGGCUCAUCACAUCCUGGGGCUGAAGUAGGUCCCAAGGGUAUGGCUGUUCGCCAUUUAAAGUGGUACGCGAGCUGGGUUUAGAACGUCGUGAGACAGUUCGGUCCCUAUCUGCCGUGGGCGCUGGAGAACUGAGGGG